rnacentral:tRNA from 1 species
GUGGCUGUAGUUCAGUUGGUUAGAGCACCUGAUUGUGGUUCAGGAUGUCGUGGGUUCGAGUCCCAUCAGCCACCCCA